rnacentral:rRNA from 1 species
GACGAACGCUGGCGGCGUGCUUAACACAUGCAAGUCGAACGGAAAGGCCCUGCUUUUGUGGGGUGCUCGAGUGGCGAACGGGUGAGUAACACGUGAGUAACCUGCCCUUGACUUUGGGAUAACUUCAGGAAACUGGGGCUAAUACCGGAUAGGAGCUCCUGCUGCAUGGUGGGGGUUGGAAAGUUUCGGCGGUUGGGGAUGGACUCGCGGCUUAUCAGCUUGUUGGUGGGGUAGUGGCUUACCAAGGCUUUGACGGGUAGCCGGCCUGAGAGGGUUACCGGCCACAUUGGGACUGAGAUACGGCCCAGACUCCUACGGGAGGCAGCAGUGGGGAAGAUUGCACAAUGGGCGGAAGCCUGAUGCAGCAACGCCGCGUGCGGGAUGACGGCCUUCGGGUGGUAAACCGCUUUCGCCUGUGACGAAGCGUGAGUGACGGUAAUGGGUAAAGAAGCACCGGCUAACUACGU